GACGAACGCUGGCGGCGUGCUUAACACAUGCAAGUCGAACGGAAAGGCCCUGCUUUUGUGGGGUGCUCGAGUGGCGAACGGGUGAGUAACACGUGAGUAACCUGCCCUUGACUUUGGGAUAACUUCAGGAAACUGGGGCUAAUACCGGAUAGGAGCUCCUGCUGCAUGGUGGGGGUUGGAAAGUUUCGGCGGUUGGGGAUGGACUCGCGGCUUAUCAGCGUGUUGGUGGGGUAGUGGCUUACCAAGGCUUUGACGGGUAGCCGGCCUGAGAGGGUGACCGGACACAUUGGGACUGAGAUACGGCCCAGACUCCUACGGGAGGCAGCAGUGGGGAAUAUUGCACAAUGGGCGGAAGCCUGAUGCAGCAACGCCGCGUGCGGGAUGACGGCCUUCGGGUUGUAAACCGCUUUCGCCUGUGACGAAGCGUGAGUGACGGUAAUGGGUAAAGAAGCACCGGCUAACUACGUG
rnacentral:rRNA from 1 species